rnacentral:ncRNA from 1 species
UGAAAUGCGUAGAGCAAGAGAAGUAUCUGCAUUCGUGCCGGCACAGAGAGCCCUCGGGUUGGUGGAACGGGGGAGCGUCACCGCAGAGAAUACACUUGGGAGCAGGCUUCCUGAAACCGUCGUGCGUAGGGGAGUUCGGGCACGCCCGUUACAGCGUCUUUGAGGUCAGGGCGGCUUUCGCUCUGAUAAAUUGAGGUGGUACCACGGUGAAAACAUCGUCCUCUGG